GGGAGGUGGAAGGAGUCUGUGAUAACAGAAACAGCUGCUGGGGUGAUGCGGCCAUAAGCUAAGGAAUGCUGUGGCUUCUAGAAGCUGGAAAUGGCAAGGAACUGAUUCUUCCUGGAGCCUCCAGAAGGGACCAGGCCUGCCAACACCUUGAUGUUAGCCCCGAAAGUCUCACUUUGGACCUCUGACCUCCAGGACUAAGAAAUUGAGGCUCAGAGAAGGGAAGCAGAGUCACCUGUGAUGGGGCUGAUUUGGCAGAGAAGAACAAACACCUGAAUUCCUGAGGGGACACAGGUUCGAUCCCUAAUCCAGGAAGAUUCCACAUGCUGGGGAGCAACUAAGCCCGUGCGCCACAACUACUGAGCCUCUGCUCUAGAGCCUGUGAGCCGCAACUACUGAGCCCUUGAGCUCUAGGGCCUGUGCUCUGCAAUAAGAGAAGCCAUAGCAGUGAGAAGCCCGCGCACCACAAUGAAGAGUAGCCCCUGCUCACAGCAACCGGAGAAAAGCCCACGUGCAGCAAUGAAGACCCAGCGCAGGCAAAAAGAAAAAAAAAGUUUCCUUAAAAAAAAAUAAAUUGUAGGGUGGAAGCUUUACACCUGUGGAAUCAACCCAUUGUAGGGUGGAAGCUUUACACCUGUGGAAUCAACCCAUACGUACAGGAGAGAAUAACAUAGGGAGUCAGAGCGGAAGGACUUUUUUUUUGGCUGCACCACAUGGCUUGUGGGAUCUUAGUUCUCUGACCAGGGAUUAAACUUGUGCCCACAGCAGAGGAAGAGUGGAGUCUUAACCACUGGACCACCAGGAAAUUCCUAAUUGCUCAUUUUUUAUUAGAGGAGUUUUUAAAGUUGAGAGUUCUAAAUGAUAAAAGUGCUCUGAUGAAAGAAAAAAAAUAGAGAAAGCAGAAGAGAGCAAUGAAAAUAACUUAUUC
ensembl:lncRNA